CUGCCAGCCGCAUCCCCCGCGGAGACCCCGGAUGAAGCCCCGGCGGCAGCAGCGGCCACGGAGGCCGGGGAUCCGGCCCCGGCCCGCGCCCCGCGGGAGGAGGAGCCGCUGCACGAGACGAUCCUCCACAUGAUCCGGCGCCGCAAGUGGACGACCCGGAUGGAGAACUCGGUGCGCCUGCUCUGCCCGACGCUCUCGGCGCCGGUCGUGCACGGCGUGAUCUCCGCCGCGGCGGCCGCGGACCGCGCGGACCUCGCGCUCCAGUUCUUCCGCUUCGCGUACCGCCGCGCCGGGUUCCGGCCGGAGCCGGCCACCUUCGCGCUGCUCCUCCCGGUCCUCGCCUCCAAGGGCAUGCUCAACCACGCCCGCUGCAUCCUCCUCGAGACCAUGCCGUCCUUCUCCGUCGCCCCCGACGAGGCCACCGUGGCCGCGCUCGUCGCCGCCUACGGCCGGGCCGGCAUCCCGCAGGAGGCCGUCAAGCUCUUCCGCCUCAUGCCCGACCUCGGCAUCACCCGCACCGCGCUCUCCUACAACGCCGUGCUCAAGGCCAUCCUCUGCCGCGGCCGCGAGGCCAUGGCCAGGCGGAUCUACAACGCCAUGAUCGCCGACGGCGUCGCCCCGACCCUGGCCACCUACAACACGCUCAUUUGGGGCUUCGGCCUGUGCAAGAAGAUGGAGUCCGCCGUGAGGGUGUUUGGGGACAUGAAGGGCCACGGGGUGACGCCGGAUGUGACCACCUAUAACACCCUGCUCAAUGCCUGGGUGCGGAAAGGCGAUUUGGAGAGUGCACGGAAGGUGUUUGAUGAAAUGCCGGGCGCUGGGUUUGAACGGAACUCGAUCUCAUACAAUGUCAUGAUCAAGGGAUAUGUUGAGGCGAAUAAGGUUGAGGAGGCAGUGGGGUUGUUCACGGAUAUGGGGGAGAAGGGGCUGAGGUUGAGUGAGAAGACUUUUGCUGCGUUGAUGCCGGGGCUUUGCGAUGAUGAGGGGAAGGCUGCGGAGGCCUGCAAGGCAGUGGCGGACAUGGCAGAGCGACGACUCACGCCAAAGGACAAAUCGGUGUUUCUGAGGCUCGUGUCGACAUUGUGCAAGGCUGGGGAUUUGGAUGGGGCAUUGGAGGUGCAUAAGAAGAGCGGGCAGUUCAAGCAUGUCCUGGUGGAUCCAAGGCAGUACGGUGUGUUGAUGGAGAGCUUGUGUGCAGGUGGUAAGUGUGAUGGUGCUGUGCAGGUGCUCGAUGAGCUUCUAGAGAAGGGCACACUGCUUAGCCCAAAGAGUCCGGUGCUGGAAGCACCGGCUUAUAAUCCAGUGAUUGAGUAUCUGUGCAACAAUGGGAAUACCAACAAGGCUGAGACGUUCUUCAGGCAGCUGAUGAAGAAAGGUGUGGAUGACAAGUCUGCAUUCAACAGUCUUAUCCGUGGGCAUGCAAAGGAAGGUGCGCUGGAGGCUGCAAAGGAGAUUCUUGCCAUUAUGACACGCCGUGGCGUCCCUACUGACCCCCACUCGCACGCACUGCUUAUUGAUAGCUUCCUGAAGAAGAAUGAGUCAGCUGAUGCAAAGACAGCAUUGGACAGCAUGAUGGAACAUGGUCACUUACCAAGGCCAGCUCUGUUCCAGUCUGUCAUGGUGGCACUUUUCAACGAUGGCCGGGUUCAGACCGCAAGCAGGGUCAUGAAGAGUAUGAUUGAGAAGGGGAUUACCGAGAACAUGGAUAUGGCAAAUAAGAUCGUGGAGGCUCUCUUCAUGAGGGGUCAUGUGGAGGAGGCGAUUGGUCGCGUCAAUCUGAUGGUGGAAAAUGGCUGUAUGCCUGAUCUGGAUAAGUUGCUAGCUGCCCUUUGCGAGAAGGACAAAGUGAUGGAGGCACAAAAGCUGGCUGAUUUUGCGUUGGACCGGGACUUUGAAGUUAGCUUCUCAACCUAUGACAGAGUCCUGGAAGCCCUGUACACUGAGGAGAAGACGUUGCCAGCCUACUCCAUGCUCUGCAAGAUCAAGCACAAAGGAGGCAUUGUAGACCAGAAGGGUUGCGAUGCUUUGAUGGAUAGCUUAAAAGCUGGAGGAUACUCAAAGCAAGCUGACAUUUUGUCUAGGAUCUUGGUGGAGAAUGGGUCGUCAACAUCCAAGAGGGGCAAGAAGUCUGCCAUGGGUGCAUAG
rnacentral:rRNA from 1 species